GCGGGUGUAGCUCAAUGGUAGAGCACCGGCCUUCCAAGCCGGUUACGUGGGUUCGAUUCCCAUCACCCGCU
rfam:Caloramator australicus RC3, WGS project CAKP01000000 data, contig: 214